rnacentral:misc_RNA from 1 species
UUAACUAUUAUAUAGUUUCUCAGACAUCACUAAAGACAUAGUUUUAGGUCCUCUGGGGCGGGUUAGCGCCCCAAAGCAACAUGAGUAGAUAUUCAAGGGUUAUGAAGGGGCCCUAAGCUCCACCGGGCCACAGCUGGGGCUGGGAGGGAUUACUCCCUCGACCAGGCGCCCAGUUGGGUCCGGCUUCACGUCAGGCUUCAUUUGUAAUGAUCCUUCCGCAGGUUCACCUACGGAAA